AUUGAACGCUGGCGGCAUGCUUUACACAUGCAAGUCGAGCGGCAGCGCGGGGCAACCUGGCGGCGAGCGGCGGACGGGUGAGUAGAGCAUCGGAACGUAUCCCGUAGUGGGGGACAACCCAGCGAAAGCUGGGCUAAUACCGCAUAUGCUCUACGGAGGAAAGGGGGGGACGCGCAAGGGCCUCACGCUAUGGGAGCGGCCGGUGUCCGAUUAGCUAGUUGGUGGGGUAAAGGCCCACCAAGGCGACGAUCGGUAGCUGGUCUGAGAGGAUGAUCAGCCACACUGGGACUGAGACACGGCCCAGACUCCUACGGGAGGCAGCAGUGGGGAAUUUUGGACAAUGGGGGCAACCCUGAUCCAGCCAUGCCGCGUGCGGGAAGAAGGCCUUCGGGUUGUAAACCGCUUUUGUCUGGGAAGAAAAGGCCUCGUCUAAUACACGGGGUUCUUGACGGUACUGGAAGAAUAAGCACCGGCUAACUACGUGCCAGCCGCCGCCGUAAGAC
rnacentral:rRNA from 1 species